GCGCCGUCUGAAGAAUCGCUGUCGCAGCUCACGCACAGGGAGUCGUCCUCUCGUUCUUCAGCUGUGGGGAAAGUCCCCGGAGAUGCAGAGCACGUCCUGCCUAUCUUGGAAAGCAGCCACCCCCAAGCACGGUGGCCUGGGCAGGGCAGGAGGGACAUCACCGCGCGGGCGUGAGCUCGCGCGCCGUUCCAUCCACUCUGCCGCCUGUCGCGUUCGUGCGCGCGUCCAACCAACACGCCGGCAUGCGGAGAUACGAGCACGCUAAUCGUGGGGUGUGUGCACGGCGCGCGGGCGAUUUGUUGCUCAUAGACAAAGUUAUGCGAUCGCGGGACACGCUCUCGCGUGCCCGUCAACGGAAUGGGGCUUACUCUCGGUCGGCU
rfam:Postia placenta Mad-698-R POSPLscaffold_147_Cont5840, whole genome shotgun sequence.